GCGCCCCGCAAGGGGAGCGGCAGACGGGUGAGUAACGCGUGGGAACGUACCUUUUGCUACGGAAUAACUCAGGGAAACUUGUGCUAAUACCGUAUGUGCCCUUCGGGGGAAAGAUUUAUCGGCAAAGGAUCGGCCCGCGUUGGAUUAGCUAGUUGGUGAGGUAAAGGCUCACCAAGGCGACGAUCCAUAGCUGGUCUGAGAGGAUGAUCAGCCACACUGGGACUGAGACACGGCCCAGACUCCUACGGGAGGCAGCAGUGGGGAAUAUUGGACAAUGGGCGCAAGCCUGAUCCAGCCAUGCCGCGUGAGUGAUGAAGGCCCUAGGGUUGUAAAGCUCUUUCACCGGUGA
rnacentral:rRNA from 1 species